UAAAUUUUAAUUUAAACCUAAAAUUAAAAUUUGUGAAAUUUUAAAUAAUUA
rnacentral:tRNA from 1 species